rnacentral:rRNA from 1 species
CAAGUCGAGCGGAUGAGUGGAGCUUGCUCCAUGAUUCAGCGGCGGACGGGUGAGUAAUGCCUAGGAAUCUGCCUGGUAGUGGGGGACAACGUUUCGAAAGGAACGCUAAUACCGCAUACGUCCUACGGGAGAAAGUGGGGGAUCUUUGGACCUCACGCUAUCAGAUGAGCCUAGGUCGGAUUAGCUAGUUGGUGAGGUAAAGGCUCACCAAGGCGACGAUCCGUAACUGGUCUGAGAGGAUGAUCAGUCACACUGGAACUGAGACACGGUCCAGACUCCUACGGGAGGCAGCAGUGGGGAAUAUUGGACAAUGGGCGAAAGCCUGAUCCAGCCAUGCCGCGUGUGUGAAGAAGGUCUUCGGAUUGUAAAGCACUUUAAGUUGGGAGGAAGGGCAGUAAGUUAAUACCUUGCUGUUUUGACGUUACCGACAGAAUAAGCACCGGCUAACUUCGUGCCAGCAGCCGCGGUAAUACGAAGGGUGCAAGCGUUAAUCGGAAUUACUGGGCGUAAAGCGCGCGUAGGUGGUUCGUUAAGUUGGAUGUGAAAGCCCCGGGCUCAACCUGGGAACUGCAUCCAAAACUGGCGAGCUAGAGUACGGUAGAGGGUGGUG